rnacentral:rRNA from 1 species
UGCUCGGAAUUACUGGGCGUAAAGGGCGCGUAGGCGGACAGUUUAGUCAGAGGUGAAAGCCCAGGGCUCAACCUUGGAAUUGCCUUUGAUACUGGCUGUCUUGAGUUCGGGAGAGGUGAGUGGAAUGCCGAGUGUAGAGGUGAAAUUCGUAGAUAUUCGGCGGAACACCAGUGGCGAAGGCGGCUCGCUGGACCGGUUCUGACGCUGAGGCGCGAAAGCGUGGGGAGCAAACGGG